rnacentral:rRNA from 1 species
GAUGAACGCUGGCGGCGUGCCUAAUACAUGCAAGUCGAGCGAACAGACGAGGAGCUUGCUCCUCUGACGUUAGCGGCGGACGGGUGAGUAACACGUGGAUAACCUACUUAUAAGACUGGGAUAACUUCGGGAAACCGGAGCUAAUACCGGAUAAUAUAUUGAACCGCAUGGUUCAAUAGUGAAAGACGGUUUUGCUGUCACUUAUAGAUGGAUCCGCGCCGCAUUAGCUAGUUGGUAAGGUAACGGCGUACCAAGGCAACGAUGCGUAGCCGACCUGAGAGGAUGAUCGGCCACACUGGAACUGAGACACGGUCCAGACUCCUACGGGAGGCAGCAGUAGGGAAUCUUCCGCAAUGGGCGAAAGCCUGACGGAGCAACGCCGCGUGAGUGAUGAAGGUCUUCGGAUCGUAAAACUCUGUUAUUAGGGAAGAACAAAUGUGUAAGUAACUAUGCACGUCUUGACGGUACCUAAUCAGAAAGCCACGGCUAACUACGUG